rnacentral:rRNA from 1 species
AUUGAACGCUGGCGGCAGGCCUAACACAUGCAAGUCGGACGGUAGCACAGAGAGCUUGCUCUUGGGUGACGAGUGGCGGACGGGUGAGUAAUGUCUGGGGAUCUGCCCGAUAGAGGGGGAUAACCACUGGAAACGGUGGCUAAUACCGCAUAACGUCGCAAGACCAAAGAGGGGGACCUUCGGGCCUCUCACUAUCGGAUGAACCCAGAUGGGAUUAGCUAGUAGGCGGGGUAAUGGCCCACCUAGGCGACGAUCCCUAGCUGGUCAGAGAGGAUGACCAGCCACACUGGAACUGAGACACGGUCCAGACACCUACGGGAGGCAGCAGUGGGGAAUAUUGCACAAUGGGCGCAAGCCUGAUGCAGCCAUGCCGCGUGUAUGAAGAAGGCCUUCGGGUUGUAAAGUACUUUCAGCGGGGGGGAAGGCGGUGAGGUUAAUAACCUUGCCGAUUGACGUUACCCGCAGAAGAAGCACCGGCUAACUCCGUGCCAGCAGCCGCGGUAA